UACGGGGGGGGCAAGCGUUGUUCGGAAUUACUGGGCGUAAAGGGCGCGUAGGCGGCCCGCUAAGUCAGACGUGAAAUCCCUCGGCUCAACCGGGGAACUGCGUCUGAUACUGGCAGGCUUGAAUCCGGGAGAGGGAUGUGGAAUUCCAGGUGUAGCGGUGAAAUGCGUAGAUAUCUGGAGGAACACCGGUGGCGAAGGCGGCAUCCUGGACCGGUAUUGACGCUGAGGCGCGAAAGCCAGGGGAGCAAACGGG
rnacentral:rRNA from 1 species